GAUGAACGCUAGCGGCAGGCUUAACACAUGCAAGUCGAGGGGUAGAAGUUGCUUGCAACUUUGAGACCGGCGCACGGGUGCGUAACGCGUAUGCAACCUACCUUUUACAGAGGGAUAGCCCAGAGAAAUUUGGAUUAAUACCUCAUAGUAUAUAAUCUUCGCAUGUUGGUUAUAUUAAAGUUCCAACGGUAAAAGAUGGGCAUGCGUCCUAUUAGCUAGUUGGUGUGGUAACGGCACACCAAGGCGACGAUAGGUAGGGGUCCUGAGCGGGAGAUCCCCCACACUGGUACGGAGACACGGACCAGACUCCUACGGGAGGCAGCAGUGAGGAAUAUUGGACAAUGGGCGCAAGCCUGAUCCAGCCAUGCCGCGUGCAGGAAGAAGCAUCUAUGGUGUGUAAACUGCUUUUGUACAGGAAGAAACACCCCUUCGUGAAGGGACUUGACGGUACUGUAAGAAUAAGGAUCGGCUAACUCCGUGCCAGCAGCCGCCGUAAAAC
rnacentral:rRNA from 1 species